CACACACUCCCUCCGUUCCAAAAUACUUGACUUUCAUUUGUCCAAAAAUGGAUGUACCUGUAUACUAAAACAUGUCUAGAUACAUCUAUAUUUUGACAAAGGAAAGACAUGUAUUGUGGAACGGAGGGAGUAUAUA
rfam:Triticum aestivum genome assembly, contig: Triticum_aestivum_CS42_TGACv1_scaffold_513731_6BS